rnacentral:tRNA from 1 species
UGAAGAUUAGUUUAAUAAAUAUAAAGCUUCGACCUUUAAGUUCUUAGUUUAAUCUAAGGUCUUCUU